rnacentral:sRNA from 2 species
UUCGCCUUUUCGAGGCGAUCUGCUAAACACAUCCGCGCGCAGGUCCGGCGCUCGAUCGGGCCCACUCCAGAAGGAGUGUCCCAGCGCG